GACGAACGCUGGCGGCGUGCUUAACGCAUGCCAGUCGAACGGAAAGGCCCUGCUUGCAGGGUACUCGAGUGGCGAACGGGUGAGUAACACGUGGGUGAUCUGCCCUGCACUUCGGGAUAAGCCUGGGAAACUGGGUCUAAUACCGGAUAGGAGCCAUUUUUAGUGUGAUGGUUGGAAAGUUUUUUCGGUGUAGGAUGAGCUCGCGGCCUAUCAGCUUGUUGGUGGGGUAAUGGCCUACCAAGGCGGCGACGGGUAGCCGGCCUGAGAGGGUGGACGGCCACAUUGGGACUGAGAUACGGCCCAGACUCCUACGGGAGGCAGCAGUGGGGAAUAUUGCACAAUGGGCGCAAGCCUGAUGCAGCGACGCCGCGUGGGGGAUGACGGCCUUCGGGUUGUAAACUCCUUUCGCUAGGGACGAAGCUUUUUGUGACGGUACCUAGAUAAGAAGCACCGGCUAACUACGUG
rnacentral:rRNA from 1 species